UGACUUUAAUUCCAUGGCAAGGCAACUUAAGUUUCAUGUUUUUUUUUUUUUGCUUUCACAACCAUGUUAGAUCCUCACAUAAGUCACAUUUAAGGUGUUAAUUGGUUUUUCACUACCACGGUUGUUAGCCGUUGAUACCAAUCAUACAAACCAAUGGUUUUCUUGGUUUCUCGUUUGUGUAAACUUGAACGUCGACACUAUGAGUGCUAGAUUGAGAAUGACGUUUUUGCUCUUCGUAUAUUUUUUAAACUUGUGUUUGUCCAAAUUUUUGUUGGAGGAUUUCAAAACUAACAAAAUAUAGAUGAACUACAAAUGUAUAACAUUUUUGCUAAAUUAACUAAGAAACUAAAAAAAUAAUAUUUACAAUUAGUAAACUAACUAUAGUCACUUGGUUAGCAUAAUGACGAGAUUGAUUUUUUUUUUUUUAAUCGAGUGGUGGUAGAGAUAGUCACUUGGUCUGCAAUGGAGGUGGCCGGUGGUUACCACAGCGGAAGUGGCCAGUUAUGGUGUGGGGUGGUGGUACCAAAUUAAUUUGUUCAAAAAAAAAAAAAACUUGGUCAUGCCAAAUUUAUGCGGAUGAGCAUAUAUACCAGAAAUAUAUGUUUUCAAUGAAUUUAGAUUAAGACGAUUUGAUUUCAACUCCAAAUUAGACACAAAUUAUUUUUUUUAAUAAAUUUCUAUAUCAUUGUGAUAAUUUAAAAGUUUGAUACAAGUCUGUCUGUAUAUGAAUUUCUUUUAGUUUGGUUUGGUUUACUUUUUUUUUUUCACCCCUAAUCCAAUGAAUGUGAGUUUUUCUAUUUUUGUUGCUCCUUCGCUGUGAUCGAAUAAGAAUGGAUAAGAGGCUCGUGGGAUUGACGUGAGAGGGGUAGGGGUAGCUAUACUUCUGGGAGCGAACUCCAUGCGAAUAUGAAGCGCAUGGAUACAAGUUAUGACUUGGAAUGAAAGACAGUUCCGAAUAAGUUUUGUAUGUCAAAUCAUAAUUUUUAUUAAGUUGACAACAAAAAUAUAUUUUAA
rnacentral:lncRNA from 1 species